GGUCGGUUAGCUCAGUUGGUAGAGCAUCGCAAUUACAUACAUCCCAAGUAUAAUAAUCCUGGGGGAUUACUGCGAAGGCCAUAGGUUCAAGCCCUAUACUGACCA